rnacentral:rRNA from 1 species
AUUGAACGCUGGCGGCAGGCUUAAUACAUGCAAGUCGAGCGAGUGGCGGACGGGUGAGUAAUGUCUGGGAAACUGCCUGAUGGAGGGGGAUAACUACUGGAAACGGUAGCUAAUACCGCAUACCAUCGGAUGUGCCCAGAUGGGAUUAGCUAGUAGGUGGGGUAAAGGCUCACCUAGGCGACGAUCCCUAGCUGGUCUGAGAGGAGGACCAGCCACACGGGAACUGGGACACGGUCCAGACCCCUACGGGAGGCAGCAGUGGGGAAUAUUGCACAAUGGGCGCAAGCCGGAUGCAGCCAUGCCGCGUGUAUGAGGAAGGCCUUCGGUUUGUAAAGUCCUUUCAUCAGGGAGGCGUUACCCGCAGAAGAAACACCGGCUAACUCCGUGCCAGCCGCCGCGGUAAUUC